GACGAACGCUGGCGGCGUGCCUAAUACAUGCAAGUCGAGCGGAUCUUUAGGAGCUUGCUCCUGAAGGUUAGCGGCGGACGGGUGAGUAACACGUGGGCAACCUGCCUGUCAGACUGGGAUAACACCGGGAAACCGGUGCUAAUACCGGAUAAUUCUUUCCUUCUCAUGAGGGAAAGCUGAAAGUCGGUUUCGGCUGACACUUACAGAUGGGCCCGCGGCGCAUUAGCUAGUUGGUGAGGUAACGGCUCACCAAGGCGACGAUGCGUAGCCGACCUGAGAGGGUGAUCGGCCACACUGGGACUGAGACACGGCCCAGACUCCUACGGGAGGCAGCAGUAGGGAAUCUUCCGCAAUGGACGAAAGUCUGACGGAGCAACGCCGCGUGAGUGAUGAAGGCCUUCGGGUCGUAAAGCUCUGUUGUUAGGGAAGAACAAGUAUCGGAGUAACUGCCGGUACCUUGACGGUACCUAACCAGAAAGCCACGGCUAACUACGUGCCAGCCGCCGCGGUAACAC
rnacentral:rRNA from 1 species